rnacentral:rRNA from 1 species
AACGAACGCUGGCGGCAGGCUUAACACAUGCAAGUCGAACGCACCGCAAGGUGAGUGGCAGACGGGUGAGUAACACGUGGGGAUCUGCCCAAUGGUACGGAAUAGCUCCGGGAAACUGGAAUUAAUACCGUAUGAGCCCGCAAGGGGAAAGAUUUAUCGCCAUUGGAUGAACCCGCGUCGGAUUAGCUAGUUGGUGUGGUAAAGGCGCACCAAGGCGACGAUCCGUAGCUGGUCUGAGAGGAUGAUCAGCCGCACUGGGACUGAGACACGGCCCAGACUCCUACGGGAGGCAGCAGUGGGGAAUAUUGGACAAUGGGCGCAAGCCUGAUCCAGCCAUGCCGAGUGAGCGAUGAAGGCCUUAGGGUUGUAAAGCUCUUUCGCCGACGAAGAUAAUGACGGUAGUCGGAGAAGAAGCCCCGGCUAACUUCGUGCCAGCAGCCGCCGUAACAC